GAAUUAGUCCACUUUCUUCCAUAUAUAUGUGUAUAUAUAUAUAUAUUCCUGAUUAGAAAAUUGUGUUUCAUAAAACAAAACAACUUUCUAGCAUCCCCUAUUUAUAGAGAUUAAUGAUCCUGGAAAUUCAUUAGACAAAACUUUAACUUUGGUAAUCCGAAAUCCCCAAUACUAAAAGUGUCAAAGGGAAAGCCUGACGUCAAUUGAGCUUUGUAGAGUUUUCUUUUGAAUCCGAGCCAGUUUAUCCGAUUAAGGAUCGUCAAAGCGAUUAAGGUGAUACAAUUUCAGCCCGGCAAUGACAACGCCACUGGGAUUGGAUUUACAGUUGCAAUACAGAUAUCAGUUUUAGUGUCGAUCAUCUCCGUUUAAAUCCAGCACGAUAACUGGUGUCGGAUGAAACCGUAAACUAGACAGUUGAAUCGAACGGAAGAAGAAAAAGAAACGAAAAAAAAGAAAAAGCGUGUGAACGAAGACAGGAAAGUCUCUUGCCGCAUUAUUAAAUUUUCCAACUCAUUAUCCAACUUUAUUUCCCCCUUACAUCAGCGUCGAGAUAAAACUGCGCAACGAAUGAAAAAAAAUUCCUCUUCUUGAAUUAUGGAUUCAAAUAGUACCGGGAGGAGGACGUAGGGGGGUAUCUAUCCUACGCACGCAGCCAGCGUGGAAGAAAAAAAAAAGUAGAAAACAAAAAGAAUGGCUGCUGGUAGGUUCAUUUGUUUAACAAAAUGGCACACCUGAUUCUCUCGGAAAAACAGAUGUAACAUUAAGGUACAAGGGCUUGGGGAAGCGAUGAAGAUCCAAGCGGGAAAUUCAGUCUGGUUUCAUGAAAACAUCAUGGAAAUUCCCUGUGUCGCCACGUAGCUUGACGAAUGAUGGCGAAAAGAAUGCCGUCGCGACGUACAACCUAAGUCGACUCUUCACACAAUGGAUAUUAUAUGAGAUUAUCCGGAUUGGUGAUAUCGGUCGGAUUUGACAGUCUUUAGGUUAUUCACUUUCAACUGAAUUGCUAAAGAAAGAGUGUGUAUAGGUAUUUGUGUCAGCUGCUGUUACGAUUCAAAUUUUAUGACGAAAAGUACAGGGGAAAUAAAAAUACUUUCGUUAUUCAUCAGAUCCCUUCCAGAGCUGCUACCAGUGUCCCUUAUAUAUUGUAAAAGGCCAAUUUUCCUUUUUUUUUUUUCUAUUCGAUUAAAGUACUCGAAGAAGUUUGUAUCCUUAAACGAAUAUUUCAUUGGAUCAGUAUAACCUGAAAGACCCUUCCAUAACUUAGACGAGCACUCGUGGUAAUGUUUUCUACUUAUACGAAGGGAUAACUUCUAGAAUGAAAAAGGGCGCGAGAGAAGAAGCAAAGAGAAAGGAGCUAGUGUCCCGUCUCUAGUGAAAGCCUCGUGCCCACUUCCAACCACGUUGCAAGAGGGUUCAAGUGCAGUUUAUAUGCAAAUGCAGAUAAUUCCUUUAGCGUUGCUUCCUGCGAGAAUCUUCUUGUCUGGCUGAUUCGGUAUUUAAAUGAGGUUACCUGUUUUCUUUAAACGUAAUUUUCUUGCUGGUCGUUAGCACCGGGUACCGAGUAAAGUACCUAGAGUACCGCAACAGUGGCAGAAGACCGAGAGACAGAGGGAGAGCAAAGCUUGAACGAUCAGAUCUUCUUCCAUAACCAUGUUGGCUACAAGGUACAAAUUGAAAUUUCGCAAGAAUAAACUCGCAAUUAAAUUGGAACGCUUACGCAAAUAAUUUUGUAAAUUUGUAAAAUAUAACUCGUGCAUCGUGCUGGAAGGAAAAAAUACGAUCGUUCACGAAAUAUAUUGAAAUAAUUCUCGACACGUUUCAUCAAUCUAAUACAAUAUACAAUGUGAACGAAUUUUACUUUCUGAAAGGAAUUUAUCUUAUUCAUUGAGAGUUUUUUAAUUUCACUUCCGCCACACCGACUUUCUUUACUUUUGACUUUUCUCUCUUUGAAUUGUCGGAAAUAAUGAACGAACAAACUGCGUGGCGACGGCUCCACACCAGCCAAUCCCUGAAGAAGUCGCUGAGAAGGAAGAAGAAGAAGAAAAGGGAGCACUUUUACUUCCUUUUGUCCUGUUAAAUCUGGGUCGCAGUACACGCCGAAGUGCUCUCAUCAUGGGAGCCCAAGAUUAUUUACGUAAAUUGCUUGCCAAAGUAGCUCAGAGGUUCUCAACGUCAAAAGUCAUUAUGAUAUCCGAUCAUACAGUUAUUCAAAGUACGUAAUUGAAAGAUAAAUUUUCUUAAGUGCAUCUCAACAAAGAUCUCGUCAAAGAAGAACAGCGAUCAUUCACACUUACUAGAGUUAGUACGAAAUCCAUCAGCCACUUGCAUAAAGUUGGAGUGACUAUUGCCUGAUAAGAUUCAUGAGACACGUGAGCAGGCAUUAAUUUUAUGUCUAACGUAUAAUGUACGUGCGUAGACCCUGAUACGUGGAAUCCGCUGUCAAUAUCGUAUAAUGUGAAAGCAUCGAAGAAGAUUGAACGUUCUGCGUCUUGUCUAGAAAGAAAAAAAA